CCCUUGGAUGUUCGGGGCCGCACGCGCGCUACACUGAAGGAAUCAGCACGUCUUUCUCCUUGUCCGAAAGGACUGGGUAACCCGCUGAACCUCCUUCGUGCUAGGGAUUGGGGCUUGUAAUUCUUCCCCAUGAACGAGGAAUUCCCAGUAAGCGCGAGUCAUAAGCUCGCGUUGAUUACGUCCCUGCCCUUUGUACACACCGCCCGUCGCUACUACCGAUUGGAUGGUUUAGUGAGAUCCUCGGAUUGGUCCCGGCGCGGCCUCUGGUCGUGCCGGAGUGCCGAAAAGAAUGUCGAACUUGAUCAUCUAGAGGAAGUAAAAGUCGUAACA
rnacentral:rRNA from 1 species